rnacentral:rRNA from 1 species
CAGCAGCCGCGGUAAUACGUAGGUGGCAAGCGUUGUCCGGAAUCAUUGGGCGUAAAGGGCUCGCAGGCGGUUUCUUAAGUCUGAUGUGAAAGCCCCCGGCUCAACCGGGGAGGGUCAUUGGAAACUGGGAAACUUGAGUGCAGAAGAGGAGAGUGGAAUUCCACGUGUAGCGGUGAAAUGCGUAGAGAUGUGGAGGAACACCAGUGGCGAAGGCGACUCUCUGGUCUGUAACUGACGCUGAGGAGCGAAAGCGUGGGGAGCGAACAGGAUUAGAUACCCCUGUAGUCCCUGUCUCUUAUAC